GGUUGUUUGGCCGAGCGGUCUAAGGCGCCUGAUUCAAGAAUUCAAUUCUUAACGCUGUAAUACAGCGGAAUCCUCAGGUAUCGUAAGAUGCAAGAGUUCGAAUCUCUUAGCAACCA
rnacentral:tRNA from 1 species